CUUUAGCGUCAUUGACUGCUGUGAGGUCAGAUGGAUUACUUGAGUCCAGCAGUGGUAAUUUGAAGACUGAGGUAACUGAUGGUAAGACGGAGAAUCACGCCAGUGGAUCGAGCAAUUCGGGUGUGAAGGAAGUUGGAUGGGGUGCUUUCCAUGCUGAUCCAGUUACAAAUGAUGCUUCUGGGUUCGGAUCCUACGUGGACUUUUUCAGUGAAUUGGGUGAUAAAAACGGUGAUGCAACGGCAGAUGUUGGUGAGAAUGUGAAUAAUAGGGUCAAUUUUGCCAGCGGAACAGGUCCAUGACAAAAAACAAGUUCAUGAAACAGAAUAUUUGGAGAAUACUAGUUCGUUAACACAGGGUCAG
rnacentral:misc_RNA from 1 species